rnacentral:rRNA from 1 species
UACGGAGGGGGCUAGCGUUGUUCGGAAUUACUGGGCGUAAAGCGCGCGUAGGCGGCUUCGCAAGUCAGAGGUGAAAGCCCGGAGCUUAACUCCGGAAUUGCCUUUGAGACUGCAUCGCUAGAACGUCGGAGAGGUAAGUGGAAUUCCGAGUGUAGAGGUGAAAUUCGUAGAUAUUCGGAAGAACACCAGUGGCGAAGGCGACUUACUGGACGACUGUUGACGCUGAGGUGCGAAAGCGUGGGGAGCAAACAGG